rnacentral:lncRNA from 1 species
AGGCGACCCGAGCCGCCAGCCGGGCGUGACUUCUCCAUCAUCUUCCUCCACCUGAUUCGUAGAGACCUCUGGACAUCUGAGCCUAAGCAGGGCCACUAAAUGAGAGAGAAUCCCAUCACUGAAAAGCAACAAUGAAUAUAUUAAGGACCACAGGAGAGAUAGAAGAAAUAUUGCAACUGAAGCUGCUAGAUGGUUAUGAUUAUCUGAAUAGGUGUGAUCUUGACUUUAGCGAAUUAACAGGUUGGUAAAGGAGGCAUUAUUACAUAGAAAGAAGACACAGACUCAGAAAUAGGUUAUGUACUUCAAUCUAAAAGGAAAAGAUGGGAAAAAAUUCUAGUUGAUAGAAGAUAAGAAAAAGAACUAAUGGCACCCUAGAGAUAUUAUAAUAAACGAAAGACAUCAAA